rnacentral:rRNA from 1 species
AGAGAGUUUGGUUAUGGCUCAGGAUGAACGCUGGCGGCGUGCCUAAUACAUGCAAGUCGAACGCACAGCGAAAGGUGCUUGCACCUUUCAAGUGAGUGGCGAACGGGUGAGUAACACGUGGACAACCUGCCUCAAGGCUGGGGAUAACAUUUGGAAACAGAUGCUAAUACCGAAUAAAACUUAGUGUCGCAUGACACAAAGUUAAAAGGCGCUUCGGCGUCACCUAGAGAUGGAUCCGCGGUGCAUUAGUUAGUUGGUGGGGUAAAGGCCUACCAAGACAAUGAUGCAUAGCCGAGUUGAGAGACUGAUCGGCCACAUUGGGACUGAGACACGGCCCAAACUCCUACGGGAGGCUGCAGUAGGGAAUCUUCCACAAUGGGCGAAAGCCUGAUGGAGCAACGCCGCGUGUGUGAUGAAGGCUUUCGGGUCGUAAAGCACUGUUGUAUGGGAAGAACAGCUAGAAUAGGAAAUGAUUUUAGUUUGACGGUACCAUACCAGAAAGGGACGGCUAAAUACGUGCCAGCAGCCGCGGUAAUACGUAUGUCCCGAGCGUUAUCCGGAUUUAUUGGGCGUAAAGCGAGCGCAGACGGUUUAUUAAGUCUGAUGUGAAAGCCCGGAGCUCAACUCCGGAAUGGCAUUGGAAACUGGUUAACUUGAGUGCAGUAGAGGUAAGUGGAACUCCAUGUGUAGCGGUGGAAUGCGUAGAUAUAUGGAAGAACACCAGUGGCGAAGGCGGCUUACUGGACUGCAACUGACGUGAGCUCGAA